rnacentral:lncRNA from 1 species
CUAAGCUAAGAAUGGGUCAUAGGAAAAUGGUUUAGGUAGGGGAAUUACAUGAACAUAGUUUUCCAUAACAAAACAAGUAACAAUUUCCAAAUCAUCUCAACAAUUUCACUAAUGUAUUGAACUUGCAAGCAUCCUAAUUCCUAAUGUCCAUAUAGUCACUAAGAAAAAUGUCUUAACACUAACAAAUGCUAACCUACAAUCCUAAUACAAUCUAACUUCUAUACUGCAGAACUUCUAUGUCUCUACUUCCCAAGACCUGAACAAAAGCACUAGACUGUCACAAAAGUUAGUAGUUAGAAUAUUAAUAACUUACUCCAAAAAAGUUAGCUCAUUAGUUAAUUUAGUAAUUACAUGUGAUUAUAAGAUCUAUACAAAUUUACAUAUGUCCUUAUAGAUUUUUAUGCAAACUCAUGCAGAAAAGAAAAACUUUGUAUGAAUUUUCCACAGGAAUUUCUCAUCAGUGUGUCUUGUUGUCAUGUAACUAUGCACAUUGUAUACUUACCCAAUCCAUGAGAUAUCUUACUUUGCUAGGCAGGAUGUGCAUGUAAAUAUAUAUGAUGUUCACAUGCACCUUACAUAUCCUCAUGGUCAAAAAUUCCAAGAUUUCACAGUUCCAAAGUCAUUCCAUGUCCAUUCAUGUUGCAUGUAGAAAUUCUUUCUCUCUGGUCAGCACAUCACUCUUCCAUCUUCUGUCACUGGAUUGAAGACUUAUAUUCUUCAAAUCAGGAUCCACUGCAAUAAUCACGAACUGGGAACACACAAACAAACCAUGCACAAAUGUGUGCAAGUGAGUUUUUUUACAUAUGUGUGCAAGAAAAAAUGAAAGUUACUUUUGAAUGGAAGUAAAAUGAAAUUUUCAUGCAUGUAUGUCAGAAUUUAUCAUUCUUUUUUCAUGUCUGCAAGUAUGAAUUACAUAUGAUUUUCUUCAUGCAUGUGGUAAGCUUUGCUUUUGUUUCUGUUUAUGCCUGUAAGUAAGCUCAACUUGUGUUUUUCUUCAUGCAUGAGGGUAAACGUUAUGCAUUUGUACAUCUUUGUGCUUACAGGUAAGCUGUACAACUGUUUUUACAUGGAUGAGUGUGAGCAUUAUGCCUAUGUUUUCAAGACUGUCAUCAUUCAACACCUAGGGUUCACUAUUCAUCAAGUCUAAAUCAAAAUGAAAUCAUUCCAUUU